rnacentral:lncRNA from 1 species
GAACACCACAGAUGAACCCCAAAUGAUAACAACCAUCACGAAUGAACCCCAAAGGUGAACCCCAAGUGAACCCCAAAUGAAUGACAAUCGUCAUAAAUGAACCCCAAAUGACACAGGUAAACCCCAAUAUGAAUCCCAAGUAAUAACAGAAGAAACCCCCAAGGUAUGAACAUACCACACAUGUCCACGCUGAACACACGGGUACUCACACCAAAUAAAGAAAAAGGUGAACA